rnacentral:snoRNA from 1 species
CCACAAAAAAAUGGACAAAAGUAAAACCAUCAGGCUAUUUGAUAGAAUGAGUAAGACCACACUCCACAGUGGGCUAUACCACUUUGUAUGGUUCAUUAUUAUAUUGUGGCCUACAUU